rnacentral:lncRNA from 1 species
AGGAAACCUAUAUUUGAGGGAGAAAGGAUGAGUGAAGAUCAAUAAUUACAACUGGCUUCAUUGGAAUAUUUAUUCUACUUGGAAAAUUAUUUAUUUUUAACGAUUUAUUUUUAGCUGAUACUUAUUCUCAGGAUUUUGAGUCCUUCAAAAAUAAAAGAAAUGAAGUUCAUGAGUUUUUGUAGCAUCCAUUCUGCUGAAAACCCCAAGUGAAUUCUAGGCAGAAGGAUUGCAUGGCUCAGCAUACUCCUUUGUUCUCUAGCCAGGGAGACAGUAAGCAAGAAUGGUGUCAUAUCAAGAAUGUCCCAAGUGGAUUAUUCAAUAAGCUGGAGACACAGCAACACUUCAUAAAUUCUGGAUUGGAGGAUUUAACCAUUUCUGAAUUGCAAAGAGAAACAUAGGAAAAAAACACUAUGAACUUCAAAAACAAUUUGCAGAUUAGGACUAAACACUGUGAGCCUUGGUACUUCAGGAAAGAUGAUGAGCUUUUCUUACCGUACAGAGGGAAAAAGAGACAUACAGUGUCUUAGAAAGCAUGCUAAAAGUUAAAGCUAGGUUGUUGAAAACCAUUAUUCUUUACUCACUGUCAUUUGGGUUAGUUGUGCCUUUUUGUCCUGAAACCUGUGUAAAUAAAUAAACCAUUAUUAUUAUUAUUAUUAUUAUU